rnacentral:rRNA from 1 species
GAUGAACGCUGGCGGCGUGCUUAACACAUGCAAGUCGAACGAGCACUUUAUUUGAUUUCCUUCGGGACUGAUUAUUUUGUGACUGAGUGGCGGACGGGUGAGUAACGCGUGGGUAACCUGCCUUGUACAGGGGGAUAACAGUUGGAAACGGCUGCUAAUACCGCAUAAGCGCACAGCAUCGCAUGAUGCAGUGUGAAAAACUCCGGUGGUAUAAGAUGGACCCGCGUUGGAUUAGCUAGUUGGUGAGGUAACGGCCCACCAAGGCAACGAUCCAUAGCCGACCUGAGAGGGUGACCGGCCACAUUGGGACUGAGACACGGCCCAAACUCCUACGGGAGGCAGCAGUGGGGAAUAUUGCACAAUGGGCGAAAGCCUAAUGCAGCGACGCCGCGUGAGCGAAGAAGUAUUUCGGUAUGUAAAGCUCUAUCAGCAGGGAAGAUAAUGACGGUACCUGACUAAGAAGCACCGGCUAAAUACGUGCCAGCCGCCGCCGUAA